rnacentral:tRNA from 1 species
GCCGGGGUAGCUCAGUGGUAGAGCGCGGCCCUGAAAAGGCCGGCGUGGAGUGUUCGAUUCACUCCCCCGGCACCA